CAAGGUCAACCCAACCCAAGGUCAACCAAGGUCAACCCAACUCAACCCAAAAUCAACCAAACCCAACCCAACCCAACUCAAGGUCAUCCAAGGUCAACAAAUUCCAACUCAAUGUCAACCAAGGUCAACCCAACCAAACCCAACACAACCCAACAAAACCCAACUCAACGUCAACCAAAGUCAACCCAACCAAACCCAACCAAACCCAACUCAGCAUCAACCCAACCCAACUCAAAGUCAACCCAAGGUCAAACAAGGUCAACCCAACUCAAGUAAAGUCAAAGUUCACCAAAGCCAACUCAAGGUCAACCAAGGUCAACCCAACCCAAUCAAAAGUCAACCAAACCCAACCCAGUUCAAGCCAGAGUCAACCAAACCCAAGUCAAGGUCAACCAAGGUCAACCAAACCCAUCCCAACCCAAGUUCAAAGUCAACCAAAUCCAAGUCAAAGUCAACUCAACCCAACCCAAGGUCAACCAAACCCAACCGAACUAAAGUAAACUCAAAGUCAACUCAACCCAACCAAAAGUCAACCAAGGUCAACCCAACCCAACUCAAAGUCAACCCAACCCAACCUAAGGUCAACCAAGGUCAACCCAAUCCAAGUCAAGGUCAACCAAACCCAACCCAAGAUCAACCCAAGUCAAGGUCAACCCAACCCUUGGUCAACCCAACCAAUGGUCAGCAAGGCCAAACCAACCCAACGACCAACGCGAGUCAAGACCGGACAAUCGAUGGUCAACGUCAAGACCAACCCAACGGUCAUCUCAAGACCAACCCAAUGGUCAGCUCAAGAUCAAGACCACCCCAGUGGUCAGCCCAAUUAACCGUUCACGAAAUCAAGACCAACCCAACGGUCAUCUCCAUCCAU
rnacentral:lncRNA from 1 species